rnacentral:rRNA from 1 species
AACGAACGCUGGCGGCAUGCCUAACACAUGCAAGUCGAACGAGACCUUCGGGUCUAGUGGCGCACGGGUGCGUAACGCGUGGGAACCUGCCCUUAGGUUCGGAAUAACUCCCCGAAAGGGGUGCUAAUACCGGAUAAUGUCUUCGGACCAAAGAUUUAUCGCCUUUGGAUGGGCCCGCGUUGGAUUAGCUAGUUGGUAGGGUAAAAGCCUACCAAGGCGACGAUCCAUAGCUGGUCUGAGAGGAUGAUCAGCCACACUGGGACUGAGACACGGCCCAGACUACUACGGGAGGCAGCAGUGGGGAAUAUUGGACAAUGGGCGAAGGCCUGAUCCAGCAAUGCCGCGUGAGUGAUGAAGGCCUUAGGGUUGUAAAGCUCUUUUACCCGGGAUGAUAAUGACAGUACCGGGAGAAUAAGCUCCGGCUAACUCCGUG